ensembl:antisense Gm16226 predicted gene 16226
ACAACACCCAGAAAUCUUCUAAAGCAGCUGUUGAUGUGUCGGCACGAGGCAACUCACGGAGGCAUACCAAGUACCUAUGACAAGUAAGACCGGAGGAGAGGACCAGACAGCAUGAGACACACUGUGUAGCUCAGACUAGACUCAACGUUGGCAUCCUUCUUUGUCAUUCAUUAUUCCAGUUCAAAGGAUGAGAUGGGAAACCAUGAAAGACCCACACAGCUAUGUUGUGGAUUCUUAGGAACUCCCUGUACUGGAGGAGGCGGCGAAAGGGCAGCUCAAAAGGAAAACAAGAGCAGCUUGGUAACCCCUGAGAAGCCUCUGUGCAUGUGGUCUUGUGUACACAAACAGACAUGAAGCCUGAGAGCAAAGCUGAGAAAUACAAUCACUGUGGUUUC